AAAGGACAACGUCACUUAUGUCAGAAGUACUCUUUGAAGGAUAGGUACUUUAUUGGUAAUACAUCAAUGGAUCCAUUGCUAUCAUUCUUUAUGGCUAAUCAAGGACAGGCACGACCAGGAACACUGGUGUUUGAUCCUUUUGUUGGGACAGGCAGUACUUUAUUAUCAUGUGGACAUUUUGGUUCAAGAGUGUUUGGUAGUGAUAUUGAUAAAAACUUGAUAACAGGAAGAGGGAAGUCAUCACGUGCUUCAAGCAAGUGCAAGUGGAGAAGUAAGUACUGAUCUGAGCGACCCUUCAGCUAAAGUCGAUUAAUAGUGAAGUG